rnacentral:rRNA from 1 species
GGGAUUUGCGCAUGGGCGAANCCUGNGCAGCGACGCCGCGUGGGGGAUGAAGCUUCUCGGAGUGUAAACCCCUUUCGACCCGGACGAAUGACCCGCAAGGGUUUGACGGUACGGGUAUAAGAAGCCCCGGCUAACUACGUGCCAGCAGCCGCGGUAAUACGUAGGGGGCCAGCGUUGCUCGGAAUUACUGGGCGUAAAGGGUUCGUAGGUGGUGCGGCAAGUUGGAAGUGAAAUCUCUGGGCUUAACCCAGAGGCUGCUUUCAAAACUGCCGUGCUCGAGUGCGAGAGAGGCCAGUGGAAUUGCAGGUGUAGCGGUGAAAUGCGUAGAUAUCUGCAGGAACACCCGUGGCGAAGGCGGCUGGCUGGAUCGCAACUGACACUGAGGAACGAAAGCUAGGGGAGCAAACAGGAUUAGAUACCCUGGUAGUCCUAGCCCUAAACCAUCAGGACUUGGGGUGGCCCGCGUAGGCGGGUCGUCCCGUAGCUAACGCGUUAAGUCCUGCGCCUGGGGAGUACGGUCGCAAGACUGAAACUCAAAGAAAUUGACGGA